GGCUCAGCUGAGUUUCCGGGAAGCCGGGCCCUUUCCACGAACCUCCGCACCCAAGUCCUCCACUUUCCCCAGGACAGAGGGAGGCCCUGGCCCGGCCGCCCGCGUCCUGCUUUCCUGGGCGCACGGUGGUGGCGAAGGGGACCCAGGAGGCCGAGUGCAGUGUAUUCUGGUACGGGGACGAUGGACGCGGACAGGAGGUGACAACGGCGCAGACCCGGUCCUGAUGGCCCUGCUGGGAAUCUCCCUAGAACCCACCCUCCGCACCGGGGACCCCGCUCACUCGACGGAUCUGCUCUGUCCCGCUCCUGCGUCCCCCGCUCAUGAUCCCGCUGCUCUGGGGACCCAGCGUCUCUGGGUCCCUGGGGCCCUCAGGGGACAAGACAGGACCAAGGCAGAGGCCAAACGCCACCAAGGCUCCUGGUGACAGGCAGAUGGGCGCUGGCUCCUGCGUCAGGGGGCCCAGGGUCAUCAUGGAGCGCGACAGACGUCCACACGCCCCCUGACUCUCUCUACACCAACCCAGAGCAAGGCACCCUGGCCAACUAGCUGCCCACCCCAAAGAGAAGGCCUCAGAGGCUGGGGUAGGGCCAUAGUUUGGAGGCUCUAGGGACAAGCACAACACCUUAGAAAUAGAUGGCUGAGAGCAAGACAUUAGAGCCCUGGCUCCCAACACCUUCACCAAGCAGAGAGCAGCCUGGCGUGGACAGCUACAGGAGACAGAGCUACAUUUCUGUGUGAUGUCGGCCACCGUUGUUUUGAAUUUGUCACAGGUAGUCAAAUUUAUAUCCUAAGUUGUGCUUUCAGUUCAGAAGUGACAGGAGGCAGAAGGGGUGGUGUGGACAUGGGGUCACGUGGCAUGUAUAUGGUACGUUUAACGGCAUAACCUGUGGUGACAAAGGACUAAAAUUCUCGGCACUUAAACAUCUUUGACAACACAUUUCUGCCCCGCACGUACUGGACAGUCAUGAAACACCACAUCGGUGAGGACUAAAACAGGCACAAGAUAAACGUCCUCCCCUAUCUAAUGUUACCUUUCCCCAAAAGGUUAAAACACGCAGAAACCCUUCUCUAAAUCUAAACAGGCUCUCUGAGGCCUAAGUGAGACGCCUUGAAAGUUUGCAACGUUGAUGUACAACUUUAGUUAGAAUACAGGUGUUCCUGGAAGAUGAUCAGAGAGCUGGGUCCCUGGAAGAUGGGGUCUCAGACUCUUUCUCGGGUCUUCAUUCCAUAAUAAACACCUGGCCUCCCACCCUGACUGUGUGAUUCCUCUCUUGGAGACUCGCUCUUGACAGUGCACUCGGUGACCUCAGUAGACUCCAGUGUUUCCUGUAUUCCUUGCCUGUUGGUUAAUUCUUUAACUGCCCAUGUCCCCUGCCCCCUGUAACCAUCCAGUACAACACAACCACACAACCGGCGUGUGGAGCUCUGUCCCUCCUGCCUAUCUGUCUCUCUGUCCUCCUCUCUGUCAGUCGGUUCUGCCUUCAGGCCAGGGAGAGGGGUGACAUUACCGGGACCCUAACCCUGGAUCCAGAAGGAAGACGGUGGGACCAUCUUGGGAAAAGCAGGCCCCGUCUCCACAGGGAGCCACUGUGGGGGGAGUCUGGCUGCAGGAAGCUGAGGGGAAAAGGUGCAGGUUUCCACGGUGGCCUUGCGGCCGCCCUGGAGUCCCUUCCCAACACCACCCGGAACUGUGGAAAGCAGAAGUGUGCACAGGCUGUGCCUGCUCCUGCUUCUGGAGAACCUGGUGCUGGGACAGCUGGGUGAGACGGGCUCCGGGCUGGAUACCCACAAAUGUUCCAGCGCAUGACCUGCCCCUGCAGCACUUGGAAAAUUCAAGGGCAACAGAGCGGGAGAUUGAUGCACGUCACUCAAAAUGUGCCUUUCUUUCUUUUUCGCAGCAGCAGGAGGGUAGAUUUUGAGUUGGAUAUUCAGAGAAACUAACACAGUCCCGACACAGACAGAGGCUGCCAUGGAGACAGAGGGGCAACUCCCAGGCCUGUAACCUGUUGCUCAUUAAAAGCAUGACUUGGGGCUGGGAAUUUGGCUCAGUGGUUCCCCCACCCGCCUCGCAAGCGCAAGGUCCCGAGUUCGAUCCCUGGUACAGAAAAAGUAAAAUCGUGAUUUGUGUUUUUUCCUCACAGGAACUUAAAAGUGAUCUUUGCUAGAAACUGUGACUCUUCACUCGGGUCUACCCUUGCCCAGUGGUAACUAAAAGUAGAAUAAAGCUUGAAUUCUGUCCCGAGAAACUCUUAAACUCCUCUGUAUUGCCUACCAGCCUGUUAGUCAUUCAGGGGGUGUCUGUGUAUGAGUCCUACACUUUCCUAGCUUACCUCCCCGCCCUUCAAGGCUGGGGGUGCUACGUCCGGGAGUCUCCAUCGUCCUGGACCUAUAGUCACCUCGGCUUCCAGGAAAGCCCCCAUGGCUGAGACUCCCCAGGUCAUGAGGCUCCCCCAUGGGAACUGAGCUGCCCCUCCAAGUCCCGAGGAGCCAACCUGAGCUGUGAAACCAGGACUGAGAUAAUGAUCGGCCUGACCCCCCAGCACCCCAGGACCCCACAAAACUGGUCUCCGUUCUUUUGUGAACAGGCCUGGCUGAUCCCCCUCAUGAGAUGUGCCCCCCUCCAGUUGCUCAGGCUGGAGUCCUUUCCCUAUUUCCCCUUUUAUUUUCCAAUUACAACUUCAGCCUGUAAUUCCAUUCUGUCAUUUUGGUUUUAAUUUCUAUUAUCAUGAAACCAAGGAUCCACACUAGCUGGUGACGAAACUACAGACCUCUGCAGGUGCAGGAAUGGCUUAGAAAAGCUGUCCCCUUUUUUGUUAUUAUUUGUUUGUUAGCUUGAGACAGGGUCUCGCUAUGUAGAUCAGGCUGUU